rnacentral:lncRNA from 1 species
CUUGCCAGCCCAUUCUCUCUAAUGACUGUCUCCCUCGCUGGAUGUGAUGAAGUAGGCUACAUUAUGCAGCACCCCAUGAAACAAAGAAUUGAGUGUGACCACCAGGCAACAUCUGGCAAGGAACUGAGUUCCAACAGUGCACAAGGAAGUGAAUCCUGACAACAGUCCCAAGAGCUUAGGAGUGAAUCCUUCUCCACUCCAGCCUCAGAUAAGUCUUGCCCUUAAUUGCAGCCUCAUGAAAGACUCUGAAACCUUGGGCCCAGGUGGAUUAAAGACUUAAACUGUAAAACUCCCAGGAGAAAACAUACAGAGGAUCCUUCAUUAUAUUGGUAUUGGCAGUGAUUUAUUGGAUAUGAUGCCAAAAGCACAGUACACAAAAACAAAAACAGAAUACAGCAACGGAACAAUUAACAGAGUGAAAAAGUAACCUGUGGAAUGGGAAAAUGGGAAUGCUGUUCUGCAUAGCAACGGAACAAUUGGCAGAGUGAAAAGUUUCUUGCAGCUUGGUGUGGUGGAUCUCACCUGUAAUCCCAGGACUUUGGGAGGCCGAGGCAAGAGGAUUGCUUGAGACCAGGAGAUGAAGACCAGCCUG